GGUUGAUUAGCUCAGUUGGUAGAGCGCGUUACUGUUAAUAACGAAGUCCGUGGUUCGAGUCCACGAUUAACCG
rfam:Fibrella sp. ES10-3-2-2, complete genome.